ACACUCCUGCGGGAGGCAGCAGUGGGGAAUAUUGCACAAUGGGCGCAAGCCUGAUGCAGCCAUGCCGCGUGUAUGAAGAAGGCCUUCGGGUUGUAAAGUACUUUCAGCGGGGAGGAAGGCGAUAAGGUUAAUAACCUUGUCGAUUGACGUUACCCGCAGAAGAAGCACCGGCUAACUCCGUGCCAGCAGCCGCGGUAAUACGGAGGGUGCAAGCGUUAAUCGGAAUUACUGGGCGUAAAGCGCACGCAGGCGGUCUGUCAAGUCGGAUGUGAAAUCCCCGGGCUCAACCUGGGAACUGCAUUCGAAACUGGCAGGCUAGAGUCUUGUAGAGGGGGGUAGAAUUCCAGGUGUAGCGGUGAAAUGCGUAGAGAUCUGGAGGAAUACCGGUGGCGAAGGCGGCCCCCUGGACAAAGACUGACGCUCAGGUGCGAAAGCGUGGGGAGCAAACAGGAUUAGAUACCCGGGUAGUCCCAUGAU
rnacentral:rRNA from 1 species